rnacentral:lncRNA from 1 species
AGGGACCACUUCAGCCUUCCAAGGUCCAGUGACCUAUUCCCUCCAAGGAGGCUACCAGCCUCUCACAAUCUCCCAUUGUGCCUGCAGCUGUGACUUCAUCAUCCUGAACACCCACAGAAGAAGAAGAAGAGGAGCCGGGAAAUGCGACAGUCCUGCAGGAAGAGGAGCAGCCCUGUAUUCAGAUUGCUGAGUUCAGAGACUCUAGUAUCUCAGUGAAGGAAGAAUCCAUAACCCUGUACUGAAACAAGCUAUACUAUGGUCCAGGCUAGAGGCUUAGAGACCGCCAUAGUGGUACCCAGAUAGGACCAUGACACAUUGUGUCCUCCUUUUACAUAAGUUCUCCAAUAAUAAACACUUUGGUCCUACUCAA